rnacentral:tRNA from 1 species
GCAUCGGCUCUCAGUUUGGUUAGAGUGCAUCGUUGACAUCGAUGAGGUCAGAGGUUCAAGUCCUCUCAGGAUCA